AUUGAACGCUGGCGGCAGGCCUAACACAUGCAAGUCGAGCGGCAGCGGGAAAGUAGCUUGCUACUUUUGCCGGCGAGCGGCGGACGGGUGAGUAAUGCCUGGGAAAUUGCCCAGUCGAGGGGGAUAACAGUUGGAAACGACUGCUAAUACCGCAUACGCCCUACGGGGGAAAGCAGGGGACCUUCGGGCCUUGCGCGAUUGGAUAUGCCCAGGUGGGAUUAGCUAGUUGGUGAGGUAAUGGCUCACCAAGGCGACGAUCCCUAGCUGGUCUGAGAGGAUGAUCAGCCACACUGGAACUGAGACACGGUCCAGACUCCUACGGGAGGCAGUAGUGGGGAAUAUUGCACAAUGGGGGAAACCCUGAUGCAGCCAUGCCGCGUGUGUGAAGAAGGCCUUCGGGUCGUAAAGCACUUUCAGCGAGGAGGAAAGGUUGAUGCCUAAUACGUAUCAACUGUGACGUUACUCGCAGAAGAAGCACCGGCUAACUCCGUGCCAGCCGCCGCCGUAAGAC
rnacentral:rRNA from 1 species